rnacentral:rRNA from 1 species
AGCCAACUCCUCGUGGCUCUUCCCUAUCCCGGUCGAGCAGUGGAGGCAGUUCACAGACUAGACGGCAGUGGGUCUGGCGGCGCAAGGCCAGCCGGGCUUAAGAUAUAGUCGAUGGCACCUAAGUAAUUAGGGUCGCGGUCAGCUAGUAGCUGGUUACCGCCGAAGUUUCCCUCAGGAUAGCAGUGUUGUCUUCAGUUUUAUGAGGUAAAGCGAAUGAUUAGGGACUCGGGGGCGCUAUUUAGCCUUCAUCCAUUCUCAAACUUUAAAUAUGUAAGAAGCCCUUGUUGCUUAGUUGAACGUGGGCAUUCGAAUGUACCAACACUAGUGGGCCAUUUUUGGUAAGCAGAACUGGCGAUGCGGGAUGAACCGAACGCGGAGUUAAGGUGCCAGAGUGGACGCUCAUCAGACACCACAAAAGGCGUUGAUACAUCUUGACAGCAGGACGGUGGCCAUGGAAGUCGGAAUCCGCUAAGGACUGUGUAACAACUCACCUGCCGAAUGUAUCAGCCCUGAAAAUGGAUGGCGCUCAAGCGUCCCACCCAUACUCCGCCCUCAGGGUAGAAACGACGCCCUGAGGAGUAGGCGGCCGUGGGGA